rnacentral:pre_miRNA from 13 species
CGUCGUCGUUUACCGCGCGCGCUAAUCAGUGACCGGGGCUGGUUUUGAUUAUCCCACAGUCAGGUACCUGAAGUAGCGCGCGUGGUGGCCAGACG